CUCAAACUCAGGCCGUUCGUCCUCAGAGCGGACCCUCUACCUCCCUGCUGUUCAGCCUCUGGGGGACGCGAACACACAGGAGGCUGACUGGCAGCAGGAGAAACCACCACGUGGAAGCCCAGGGUGGAGCAGACCGUGGUUAUCAAAACAAAGCCGAGUUCAGUGUCAUCUCAGCGUCUUGGCAAGGACGUGCUCACCUGCUGAUGACGGUGGCACGUGCCCAGUGGAGGAAGUGCAGAGGGCCUUGGGCCCCGAUCCUCACGUUCCAGAAGAUCGCACGUGGACCGGGUAUGAGAGGUCACCUCACUCUCACAGAAAGUCCAACCUACCCUCUUCACAGCCUAGACCUUACAUCAACACUAAGGUUCUGCUUAAGGACCGUAUCUUCCACUGAGAGCGUCCCUGAGUGACCUCAGGCUGCAACAUUUUCAUUCUACAGAAAAGGAAGAGUUGGCUUGCAGGAGGCAUCUCACCACGACCCUCAGAACGGACAGUAUAUUUCUUCGCAUUUAUUCCUUGGGAUGGACCGAAAAACAGGA